GGAAUUGACGGGGCCCGCACAAGCGGUGGAGCAUGUGGUUUAAUUCGACGCAACGCGAAGAACCUUACCAGGGCUUGACAUCCCCUGACCGCGUAUGAAAGUACGUUUUCACCCUCGGGUGACAGGGAGACAGGUGGUGCAUGGUUGUCGUCAGCUCGUGUCGUGAGAUGUUGGGUUAAGUCCCGCAACGAGCGCAACCCCUACGUUUAGUUGCUAACGCGUGAAGGCGAGCACUCUAGACGAACUGCCGUUGACAAAACGGAGGAAGGUGGGGAUGACGUCAAAUCAUCAUGCCCCUUAUGUUCUGGGCUACACACGUGCUACAAUGGCCGGUACAGACGGACGCAAAGCCGCGAGGUGGAGCAAAUCCUAAAAAGCCGGUCUCAGUUCGGAUUGCAGGCUGCAAUUCGCCUGCAUGAAGUCGGAAUCGCUAGUAAUCGCAGGUCAGCAUACUGCGGUGAAUACGUUCCCGGGCCUU
rnacentral:rRNA from 1 species